UAAUUGUUUAAAGUAAGUGGUGCAGUAUUCUAGUCGGUCCUCCAUUUUCGAAGGCGGGCCUAAAAAUCCGCUAAAGGGCACAUCGAUGAAGUUCCUAGUUUUGGCUUGAGGCGCCCAGCCUUGGGUCAUUGCUGGGAGUAAAGGGAGUAGGGCGAUCCACAAUGGCAUGUGGGCGUUGACCCUCCUUCCGCGGAGGCCUUAAUUCGUGGAAUUCUCCUGGGAAUGAUAAUUUUACGGAUUACGGUAUGAACCUGCAUAGCAAGUUUCCCCUUGUUUGCAGCGUAGCCUGCCUUGAGUGGAGUAGAGGGGAUUAUGGAUACUAAAUUGUAUACACUGUUAUUAUUAUAUUAAUUAGUGAUCCACAUGAAAUCUGCUCUGCAAAAGAGGAUAGAGAAUGUGUAGGGGCUGCUGAGGAAAACUCCUAGACUGUUCGAAAGACAUUUAAAGGGGAUUAUAGUGCGUUCUAAGUGGUAAUCUAGUCUAGCGUUUGGUGACAGCGCUAAGGUGGAUUUAAAGGGAAACCGCCAAUGUGGCGACACAUCGGUAUCUACUUGGGAAAACCUACUGGACCUAAGACGCAGUCUUUACUCUUUAAAUGACCACUUACAAAUACAUAAAG
rnacentral:sRNA from 1 species